GACCCUGAAAGAGACCUCCCCAGGAAGGGGGGCCUCUCCAUCUGGUUUGCAGAGGUGGCCUCUUCAUAAGGUUGCAGACCCAGCUGUUCCAUCAGGUUUUGUGAGGACACUCUAAGGUGCGCUAGAGGGAUGCCUUCAUCAGCUUAGUGCAAUGGGUAACCCGUGAUGAGAUUAGCACUUGGGAGACUGAAACUAAAGCUGCAGAAAAACCUAAGACCCUUCUUCUGCUAGCUCAC
rnacentral:lncRNA from 1 species